GAACAACCUAUGAGCCGCCAAUGAAUGUUUGACUCACUACAUUCACUCACUGCCAGCUCCCCGUGCUAAACCGGUCAUCUUAAUGCUGCAUGCCCACACAAGAAAUCAAGUUCCCCUGAAUCAAGGCUGAAACUUUAAUGGAAUCUGGGGCUGCUGUGAAUCUCAUAAAUCAAGAGAUCGUACAAGAAAUCAAUAUACCCACCAGUCAAUGCAUUCCAACGAUUAAAAUCACCACAGUUGACAACACUCCCAUUGGUACUGGUAUAACCCAACAGACUUUUCCCAUAACCAUCGAGAUUGGACUAUUUCAUG